UUUUUUUUUUUUUUUUUAAUGAAAGUCGCAAAGUUUAUUUCAAGUUCUCUCUUGUUGCUGGUUUUUUUGUUUUGUUUUGUUUUGUUAUGCCACACAGGCAGCAUAUGGAAAUUUCCAGGCCAGAGAUUGAACCUGUGACACACAGCAGUGACCAGAGCCACAAUGGUAAGAACACAGGAACCUUAACCCACUAGGCCAUCAGAGAACUACCAGCAAUAGGUCUUAUUACCUUUAUCUCCACUUUUUUUUUUUUUUUGUCAUACCUGUGGUAUAUGGAAGUUCCUGGGCCAGGGAUUGAAUCUGAGCUGAAGCUGCAACUUAUGCCACACUUGUGGCAAUGAUGGAUUCUUUCUUUCUUUCUUUUUUUUUUUUUUUUUUUUUGCCUUUUCUAAGGCUGCCCCCGUGGCAUAUGGAGGUCAGCCUACACCACAGCCACAGCCAACGCCAGAUCCUUAACCCACUGAGCAAGGCUGGGAGCAGCAGCUCUGAUUUGACCCCUAGCCCAGGAACUUCCAUGUGUUGUAGGUGCAGUACUAAAAAGAAAAAAAAAAAAAACUUAUAUUAUUUCAAGGACCUCUAUAGUCACUAAGAUUCUUAGGAAAAUGAGUAUUCUAACAUUCUCUAAUUGCAAAAGUUAAUGGGAAGUACAUGUUUUAAGAAAAGAGUUAGGAUUAAGACAGCAGAAUAGAAGGACUGGAGCUCACCUUCUCUCAUGAAAACAACAAAAUUACAAUCAACUGCUGAACUAUCAUCAACAAAAUAGACUAGAAACUACCAAAAAAGUUAUCCUACACCAAAAGACAAAGAGAAGGCAACAUCAAGAUGGUAGGAGGGAUAACGGCAGAAUAUAAGUAACCCCACACCUCCCACGUGGGCGGCCCACAGACUGGAAAGUAACUGUAUCACAGAGACUUACCUACUUGAGUGAGAGUUCUGAGCCUCACAUCAGGUCUCCACACCUGGGGAUCUGGCAUUGGGAGGAGGAGCCCCUUGAUCAUUGGUGUUGAGGGCCAGAGGGGCUUGGGCACAGGAACUCCACAGAACUGGGGGAAAUGGAGAACCCACUCUUGAAAGGCACACCCAGGAUUUCAUGAGCACUGGCUUCCAGGGUAAAGCAGACUCUCCAUAGGAAUCUGGGUCAGACCUGCCUGCAGUUCUUGGAGGAUCUCCUAGGAAAAUGGGGUGAUGGUGGCUUGUUGUGGAAGAAGGACUUUUGAGGCAAAGGUCUCGGGAAUAAUCAUCAGCAAGAUGGCCAUUUUAGAAAAAUCUGGCCCCUCCAUCAAGGCUGAGAAGCCCCAGUCCAAACAACAAAUGAGGUGGGGACACAGCCCCACCCAUCAGCAAACAGGCUUACUAAGGACCUCUAGUCACACAGAUGCCUUUAAUCACACCCAGAGACAAAGCCCCACCCACCAGAGGGAUAAGAAUCAUCUCCAUGUACCAGGGGGCAGGCACCAAUUCCUCCCAUCAGGAAGCCUACAGGAAGCCCCCAUACCAGCUUCAGCCACAAGGAAGGCAGACAUCAGAAGUGAGAGAAGCUACAACUCUAUUCUCAGACACAAGAGAGGCCAUGACCCUCUAGCCUGCAAAAAGGGCAGACGAAAAGCUAUACAAAAUGAAAAGGCAGAGUAUUAUGACUCAGAUAAAAAAACAAGGAAAAAACCCCAGAAAAACAGCUAUGUGAUUUGGAGAGUACUAACCUCUAUGAAAAAGAAUUUAGACUAACGAUAGUAAAGAUGAUUCAAGAUCUUGGAAAUAAAUUGGAGGCAAAGAUUGAUAAAUUACAAGAAACAAUGAACAAAAAAACCAGAAAAUUUGAAGAUUAAGCACGCAGAGAUGCAAAAUAUAAUAACUGAAAUAAAAAAUUCACUAGAGGGAGUUCCUGUCAUGGCUCAGCAGAAACGAAUCCGACUAGCAUCCAUGAGGAUGCAGGUUCAAUUCCUGGCCUCAAUUAGUGGGGUGGGGACCUGGCGUUGCCAUGAGCUGUGGAGCAGGUCGCAGAUGUGGCUUGGAUUCCGUGUUGCUAUAGCUGUGGUGCAGGCCAGCAACUGUAGCUCUGAUUGGAUCCCUAGUCUGGGAACUUCCAUAUGCCAUGGGUACUGCUAUAAAAAGCAAAAAAAAAAAAAAAAAA
rnacentral:lncRNA from 1 species